UGAGGAACAUGACCUUUGGCGGGGGAUAGCCGGCCCAACGGCCGGGUAAUACCGCGUACGACCACUUUGGGACAUCCCUAGGUGGUGAAGGCAGCAAUGCGCCGAUGGAGUGCCUCGCGGCCUAUCAGCUAGUUGGUGAGGUAACGGCUCACCAAGGCGACGACGGGUAGCUGGUCUGAGAGGAUGGCCAGCCACAUUGGGACUGAGAUACGGUCCAGACCUCCGUACGGGAGCAG
rnacentral:rRNA from 1 species